UACGAGGGGUGCAAGCGUUGCUCGGAAUUAUUGGGCGUAAAGGGUAGGUAGGUGGUCUCAUUUGUCUGGGGUGAAAUCCUUGAGCUUAACUCAAGAAGUGCCCCAGAAACGGUGAGACUCGAGUACUGGAGAGGAGACUGGAAUUUACGGUGUAGCAGUGAAAUGCGUAGAUAUCGUAAGGAAGACCAGUGGCGAAGGCGAGUCUCUGGACAGUUACUGACGCUGAGGCACGAAGGCCAGGGGAGCAAACGGG
rnacentral:rRNA from 1 species